GAUGAACGCUGGCGGCGUGCUUAACACAUGCAAGUCGAACGGAAAGGCCCUGCUUUUGUGGGGUGCUCGAGUGGCGAACGGGUGAGUAACACGUGAGUAACCUGCCCUUGACUUUGGGAUAACUUCAGGAAACUGGGGCUAAUACCGGAUAGGAGCUCCUGCUGCAUGGUGGGGGUUGGAAAGUUUCGGCGGUUGGGGAUGGACUCGCGGCUUAUCAGCUUGUUGGUGGGGUAGUGGCUUACCAAGGCUUUGACGGGUAGCCGGCCUGGGAGGGUGACCGGGCACAAGGGGACUAAGAGACGGACCAGACGCCUACGGGAGGCAACGGUGGGAAAUAUUACACAGUGAGGGGGAGCCUGAGACGGAGGCGCCGCGUGCGGAAAGACGGCCUUCGGGUUGAAAACCGCUUUCGCCUGUGACGAAGCGUGAGUGACGGUAAUGAGUAAAGAAGCACCGGCUAACUACGUG
rnacentral:rRNA from 1 species